AAGCCAAUAGGGCCAUGGGAUCAGAUCAGGCGGCGGCGACCUUGCGGGCCUUCUUGGCGGCCGGGGAGCGGACGGUCUUCGGCUUCGCCUUGGCCUUAGCCGCCGGCGACUUCUUCGCCUUGGCGACCAGCUUCUUCUUCUCCGGCGCCUUGCGCUUCGUGCCGGCGGCGGCGGCGGUCUUCUUGGGCUUCGCGUCCGCCUUCUUCUUGGGUUUGGCGCCGUCCUUGGCAGGCUUCACCGCGGCCUUGGCGGCUGCAGGCUUGGCGGGCUUCACCGCGGCCUUGGCGGCCGAAGGCUUGGCGGGCUUGGCCUUGGUGGAGUCCUUCUUGGCAGCGUCGGAGAGCUUGUAGGAUGCCUUGACCUUGACGAGCUUGCCCUUGGAGGCGGACGCGCGGAGCUGGACGGAGAGCAUCUUCUUGAAGUUGGCCGGGAGCGCCUUGCCGUGCUUCUCCUCAAUGUACUUGGCGAUGGCGACCGAGCUCGACCCGGUCCUGUCCUUGAGCGCCGCGAUCGCCUCCUUGAUCAUCUGCGCAAGAUCGAAAUCAAGAUCCAAUCAGCCCCAAUCGCAAAUCAGAACGAACGAACCACAGAGCUGCAAAAGGAUUUAACAGGAGAGCCUCGGGCGCUCACCUCGAAGUAGGCCGGGUGGGAAGGGCCGGCGGCCGCCUUCUUCGGCUUGGCGGCGGAGGGCUUCGGCUUCGGGGCGGCGGCGACGGGCUUGGCGAGGGCAGGCAUGGUGGCUAACUAAAGCAGAGCUCUCAAACCGAAACUGCUGCCGUGUCUUUGGUGCUGCGCGCGCGUGAAAUUUUCGGGAGGUGGAUGGAUUUGAGAGCACCGCGUCGAUGGUUAUUUAUAUCCGCAGAUGGGAGGGAAGCGAUCCGCGAGGUGGGGAAUGCUGCCAUCUCAUUGGUUGGAGCGGGGGAGGGGGGGCAAUCCGCGGGGCGGAAAUGCUGCGAUCUCAUUCGUUGGAGCGGGAGUGCCGCGGAUCGCAAGCAGCGACGGAGAGGAUCGCCCCAAAACACAAAUACACCCUUUAUUUUCAAAAAAUAUAUAAUUGAAUACGUGUUAGUUUUCUUUUGAUCAAAUUUCAUAGAGUUCUCAUCAGGUUUGCGGUUUCUAACAGCAAUUCCGACGGAGCGAUCCAAACGGACGAUUAUUUUAUUCGUUUUUCAUCCGUUUCGAUCGGUCGGGCAGACGCCAACGUCCGUUCUGACGUUUUGAUUGACGCAUGCGUCCAACGCUGGCCAACCCGUUUUUAACCGCGCGUGGAAAAAAUCAGGACGGAAAUAAUAAACAAACAUAAUUAAACAUUAAAAGCCGACCACGGAGAUCGGCGAGACUCCACGCGUCCCGAGUACAUUAAUUAAACAUAACAAAGAACCUAAACUAUGAGGCAGCCUUAGGCGGCGUUAUCGGGCCGUGAGGUUGACCAACGUAGGCGCAGGACCGGUCCAGGAAAACGUCGUAUUCCAGAGCACGACCGUGUACACCUUAGUUCUCUAAGUCAGGAAAAUACUUUCUAUCACACUACUUCACCCUUACACUUAUGGAAUCCCAACAACUCCUGCACGAUCAAGCCGCCUUCAAGACUAAUCCUGAGUGAUUUGAGGUUUAUCUCUUGGGAUAACUCUAAGUAUGGCAAUGAGUAGGUUAUGGUGCACGUAUAAUAAUCCCAUACCAAUACCCAUGUUUUUAUGGGCAUGAAAUUCAACCCAUACCAUACCCAUUAGGCACAAAUCCAUAGUCGUGCCCAUACUCAAUGGGUAUCCAUGCACGAUGUAUACCAAUCUGGUAUAUCAACACAUCAUUGAAGGGUAGUUGCGUAGUUGCAAGGUCGAUUGGCCCCACCGACAUAUGAUUCUUGAGGUUGGAAAAUGGUGAUUGCGAGGAGGAUGCGCGUGGGAUAUUCCUCGACGGACGCAACUAGAGAAUGAAGGUGGACUAUGGUUGGGACGUAUAGUGUUUCACAACUUAGAGUUAUGAUGCAUGUGACCCACCUAUAAGAUUACCUGGUCUAGUUUGGGCAUACCCUUGGGCCCAUAGUUAUACCCACUCCCUACCCAUGACUAGUUGGAUAGGGUUUGAACACCAUCCAUAAGCACAUAAAUGUGCCCAUACCCUACCCAUACCUACCCAUGUGGGUCGGAUACACAUGGGUAAAUUUACAAUCCUUAUGACUAAAAGGGAAUGAGAUGUGCCACUUGGUGGCAUCGCGGUGCUUUGGCUUGAGCACUUUUCCAACGAAGAUUAUAACUCCCAAAAGUGUGAAUUUCGAGAUAUAUCAGCGUCCUCGUCUCACUUAUGUUUAAAUUGUUUCCGCAUCUUUACUUGCUUUAUAUCUUUGUUGGCUUGAUAAUUAGUUCGUUACAUUGCGUACCUUGUUACUUGUUUGUCAUUUAGGUUGUUCUCACCGAGUUGCAUAUAUAGAAAACCUACUUUAACUGCAUUACCCUAAAAUUAGCAAUUAACUUAAAAUUGAUAGCCGCCUAUUCACCAUUUCACCUCGUCGUCCUCUAGUCGACCAAUUUGAUCCUUUCACAUACGUUCCGCACAAAAGAUGCUCAAUGUGGGAGCACACAUGUGCCUAUUACAUAGUACAAGUUGUGCUUCCUGCGCACGCAACUUUUACUCAAUGCGACGUGCACUUCAAGCGCGAUGUGACAUGUACUCCUUGGAGGACGCAAUUUCUACUUUCCCUAUUGUGCAACCCAUACUCCAUAGCAACAACAUGUAUUUCACGAGUAUACUAGACAAAUCAUAAAUAAACAAAAACCCAAAAAAGUAGUGAAACCCCAAAAACAUUAGCAAGAAAACCAGGCAUACGUCUGUUUGCUUCCUCCUUGCUCGCAAGCUUGAUCAAAGAGAACCAUACGCCUCACGCAUGCUACCUUUGCGUGCCCUAUCAAAGGGUAUCCUUGCGUUAGUUACUCCUAGACGAGACGCUCGCGAAGGAAAAAAAGUGUAUAUCACAAUAUGAUUAUGGGCGCGGUUGCCUUCAAAGCUCGAAAAUGUUGAUUUUUAACGUUUGUACCCCAUGCCCUGAUAGAAUUAACAAGCAUACCCCCCCCCCCCUAAAUGAGAUCGGCAAGAAUGUCUUGAAACAAGCACAAGCAAGCAACACAUGACCCUUUGCCAACAUAAUGACAAUGUACACUUGUUGUUGCCUAGCCAAUUCUUCAACAUAGUGUAUUUGGUAGUUGUGAUCGCCUCACAGUUGUGAUCGCCCGACACGUGCGCAUUUCAUUGUAUGGCAGGAAGUGACAUGUGUCGCUUUGUUGUGCUACUGUGAGGGCAAUUUUGCCAAAAAAUACUGAAAUGGUGUAUUCCUUGCAAUUGCAAUGCAUGGGUAGAUGUGCAAAAAUGCACACACAAAAAAACUCAAUGUCUUUUAUUAACUUGUGGCACGCUUUAUUCAAAUCAAAUUAUGGUCACGUCUCUAACAAGAGCAUCUAGGAUACUAUGUGGAGGAUCAUUAUCCCACACAAUUACUAAAUUUGAACCAAAAGACUUUCUAGAUAACUCAUGUGCCACUGUGUUUGUCUCUCUAAGACAAUGUGCAUAAGAUACCAGUCCAAUUUCACGAGUAAAGAUAAAAGAGUCACUCAAAAUAGCAGAAUAAGGUAUUUGUAUGUCCAUCUCCAGUUACAUGCUGAUAUGACUUCCAACUUUCCAAGCAAUGUGAUUCAACUUCCCCCCAAAAUUAAAAAAAUAUCAAGCGUGAUAGUAGAGCAUCCCAGCUGAUCCCUGAUCCGCUGGACGGUUCGUUGUCCGGUAAGAGUAUAGGAUUUUACCUUGUGCUACACUCGAGGAACUCCCGCCGUGCUUCAUCCAUGAUGUGGUGACCGCGGUGUUGUGCGUGAUGGAGUGGUGGUGGUGCUUGCCGUCGGCACGCGCUAGAACCCUAGAUCGGAAGGGGAUGUUGCGUGUGGCGGCGUCGCACGAUCAACCUCGUGAGUUGUGCGGCCGGCUUCACACCCCUUUAAAUAUAGCGCGGCGCACGGGCCCAUCAACCAUGGUUUGGUUGGAUGCCCCGAUCAAGACAGAUAUGGAUCAAGGGUCCGAUGAACCGUUGGAUCCACACGGAGAGAUCAAUCUAACACACCCAACUAGCAACACCGGCGACAAGGUCUUCCGGCACGGUCACUGACAAGAAGUUGCUACAGAAUAACAGAAUCAUCUCAUCCGGAGGCCGGUGACGAGAUCCUUCAGUGCGGCAUGGACGAGAAGUGGGUCUCAUCUGCUGGCCUCGUCUCACUGUGUCGCCCCGAGUGACUGUCAUGAACGAGAGCGAAAACAGACAAACACUAAGUCGUUGUGUACUUGUGUUACCUGUAGAAAUUGCAAUUGGGAAUAGCAGUCGGGAAUGGAAUUUGAUGAGCAAACUGGGGUUAGGUGCUUCGAAAUUGUUGGUGCCACGUGUCAUCCAUCAGAUUGGGUCUUAUCUGUUGUCUUGUGAGACCUGGUCUCAUAGGAUUUUCUUCCCAUCCGGAAGUCGCUAACGCUAAAAAGUUGAUCGGCAGGCACGGGGUUUGUGGAGUGGAUUGGGUAGCGCACCCGCACGGUGCCACGCUUCCAUUCCUGUGAUUCUCUGUACGUCGCCAAUAGAAGUUGAUCAGCACGCACGCAGCAGCAACAGCCAGGCACGGCUCAAACCGCCAUGGCGUUCCAUUCCCUGUCCCCUCGUUGUUACAACUGAGGGCAGGUGAUCGGGGGUUCCAUCGUUGUAGAAGAGGGAUACUGGGGACACAACUGAACCUAGAACAGGUGGUAGUAGAAAGGCCCGAAGGGAAAUUGAGGUUCCCAAAGGCCUUUACCAGAAUGAGCAACAAAUUUCAACCAACAGACGAUGGCUGCUCUCCAAGAUCAAACUCACGACAUCUCAGAAUGAUGGUGAAGACUAGAGAUCGGUUAGGAAUAAACAUGUAGAAAUUGGGAAACUGCAAAUUCAUUUGAACAAUUUCAGACACUAGACACCACCCACGAUACAGGGAGGAUGAGGCAUCAUUUUUGUACAGAUCCUGAACACCAAAGCACACCUAAAACGACCUAUCAGAGCAGAUCAGAUCAAGCGGCGGCGACCUUCCGGGCCUUCUUGGCGGCCGGGGAACGGACGGUCUUCGGCUUCGGCUUGGACUUGGCCGCAGGCGACUUCUUGGCCUUGGCGACCAGCUUCUUCUUCUCGGGCGCCUUGCGCUUCGUGCCGGCGGCGGCGACGGCCUUGUUUGGUUUCGCGGCCGCCUUCUUCUUGGGCUUCGCGGCCUCCUUCUUGGCCUUGGGCGCGUCCUUCUUGGCGGCGUCGGAGAGCUUGUACGAGGCCUUGACCUUGACGAGCUUGCCCUUGGCGGCGGACGCGCGGAGCUGGACGGAGAGCAUCUUCUUGAAGUUGGCCGGGAGAGCCUUGCCGUGCUUCUCCUCGAUGUACUUGGCGAUGGCGACCGAGCUCGACCCGGUCCUGUCCUUGAGCGCCGCGAUCGCCUCCUUGAUCAUCUGUCAAGAUCCAAUCCAAAAAUCCAAUCAGCCCGAAUCAAAGCCAUUCAAUCACGGGGGGGAACACGAGAGGUUCAGACGCUCACCUCGAAGUAUGUCGGGUGGGCGGAGGGCUUCUUCGGCUUGGGCGCCGAGGCGGCGGGCUUGGCCAUGGCAGUCAUGGUGGCUAAACCGAAGAAAAUAUCUGACAGGGAAACUGCUACUUGUGCUGUGUGCUCGCUUGCGGCUUCAGAAAAGAGAGCUCGAGUGGUGGAUGGUUUCGAGAGAACCGGGUCGAGGCUUAUGAGAAUGGGAGCGAUCCGGGGUGAUGAGAAUGCUGCGAUCUCAUUGGCUGAACUGGGAGUGGCGCGGAUUGUGAGUAGCGAGAGAAGGGGCGGGCGAACAGCGCAACUACUCCCGCGUGACUGGGUGAAAAUGAGAAAUGUACAAGUUUUAUGAAAAAGUUAAACUGAAUAACUUCUUUUUAUUCUCAUUUUCAUGUAGGCCCUAGCAUUUUUUAAGAGUAAAAUUCAACAUGUGUGCCUUAAUUUGUCUAGUAUGAUCUAAAUUUGUAAAAUACACGAAACUAGUGUUUUCUUAUGUGAACGUUUAAGUCCGGUGUCUCCAUCCAUAUACGCAAAUAGGAGUAUGCACUGUCCACAUGACGUGCGAAAGUGACGUUGGCCCACAUGUCAAUGGCUGUGAGUGGGAGUGUGUUGGAUGUUUUACAAAAAUGGUCCUAUAUGAAAAAUAAAUUGCGCACACAUGUGUUAACCACUACACCAAGAAUAGUUGUAUGUUCAAUCUGACGAUACACUCCGAUUUAUAAUAAGGAUACCAAGAAAUAUAAACAAAGGAAAAGUUGACUCGUGGGAAUCUGAGCCGAGGAGCUCUGAUUUUUUUCAUGUUUAUUUUUUAAUAUUAUUUUUUUGUUUGAAAAAAGAAAAGUAAGAUAAUAUUACAGCUACCAUAAACGUAAAAGGAAGUGUUAGUGCACUUGGAAAAAUAUUCAGCAUAUUGUUUGAAAAUUCUCAGUUGUAUUAAGAGAUUGUAAAUAUAUUUUUCAAAAAUGUUCGUCAUGCAUUCAAAAAAUUUACAACAUAUGUUUCAUAAAAUGGUCAACAUAUAUUAAGACAUUUAUUGUUUAAAUUGUUUUUUUACAUUUCUUCAAACACAUUUAACAUGUUUUAACACAUUUAUAAAAUUCAUUGUAUUUACACAAAGAUGUGUUAAUUUUUGAAUAACUAUAUAUUCUAAAAAUAAUAUGAGAAUGCACAAUAAUUAUGCGUGCUUGUGUUUCUAAAUGAAGAUAUAUAAAAUGACACAAUAUUUUAUAAUGUUUGUUGAACUGGUUAAAUCCACAUGAUUCUUAGAAAAAAGUUAAUGUUUACAUCUUCGAACCACACAAUAGUAAAAAUAAGAGUUAAAUACACCACAAAUGUCUUAACUUGUGUGUUGCGGUCAGUUUAAUAUUCAAACUUGUAAAAUACACAAAAGUGAUGCUAAAACUUGUAGCAGGGUGCAUAUACGGUAUAUCCCGGGUACAUGUGCCCGUGUGUGUUGUCCGUGUGGUGUGUGAGAUGGCGAUUGGUCCAUAUAUCAGUGAAUAUGUGCGUCGACUGCGCUGAAUGAGAUGCGUGCGAGUUCUUUUUUUUUUGCCGAAACACCAUGGAAGUUUAAUUAAAUGUCACAAAAGUGCCCUCGCACUCUAUGCUAAUAAUAGGAAAAUAUAAGUUGCGCCAUUGAAUGGCUUUCAAACCAGAUACUUACAGCUUAAAAAGCAUGCAGGCUAGCCAGUCCCAUGGAUAGUUCAUUGCAUACAACAAUUAGCUGGGAACUUAUAUCUGUCGCUCUGCAAUUUCCAUAAAAUUUAAGUUACCAUUUCAUUUUUAUGAUAUGUAGAUUUUAUCAUAUAAUAAUACAAUAAUUAUCAAUAUAUGAUUAUUUUAUAUUUCAAUAUUUAUUUUAUUUUUCGAGUCAAUUACAUCAAUAGUGGUAGAACUUGAUGUAAAUGAUCAUUUUGAUGCUAGAAGUUGCGGUGUACAUCAAAGUGAUGUAAAAACUUGGCUCGAUCGUACAAAUACAGUGCAUGUCCCAUUUUAUAUACCCAAUAUGUGCUAAUUACGCGCGUGGGGUUUGUUGUUAGCCAGUGAACCAGGAAGAAUGCUUUUUUCUUGAAAACCCCCUUGAAAAAAUAUUUUUCGCCAAAAGGAAAACAUGGAAGUGGAAAUUUUCUUUUCUAUGCCCAGUGGGUCCCGCCUAUCAAUAUUUACAUAAAAGGAUUUCAGGCAUGCUUCGAACCCGCAACCAUUUCACACAACACACUGUUUUGUUUAGUAACGAUAGCAACCUUAUAAAUAUUAUGAAGCACACACGUGGAGCUUAAAUAGGCUACAAUAUCUGCAAUCCAGUUUACACAAGUUAUUUUUAUAAGAUAUUUUAACCGGAAGUAAUAAAAAUUACGUUCCAAUAUUGUGUGUUACCAAUAUUAUGUUAAUAAAAACAUUGAAAUAUAUACCCGUGUACAUAUAAAAUAUUUAGUUAAUACGGGCAUUUUAAAUGUAUAUUUGAUACAAUGUUUAAUGAAUAUAGUAAAGAAGUGUACACUCAUGGCUUAUAUUGAAAUUUUAAGAUGAUGAAUACAAACAUUUACUUAACAUCUAUAAUUACUGACAUGUGUAUAUCAACAUGAUGAAUACAAACAUUUACUUAACGUCUAAAAUUAUUGAAACGUGUACAUUUUCGUUUGUAUGCAUGGUAGAUUUUAAAAUAAACAUACCAAUGUUUUGAAAAUAACACGUGAACAAUUUUAUUAAGUAUACAUUUUAAAUGUAUAUGUUAACAAAAUAUUUAAUAUAUACUUCCUCCGUUCCUAAAUAUAAGUCUUUUAUGAGAUUUUAUUAAGUCACUACAUACAGAGUAAAAUGAGUUAAUCUACACUCUAUAUUAUGUCUAUAUACAUCCGUAUGAGGUUUCCUAGUAGAACCUCUAAAAAGACUUAUACUUAGGAACGGAGGUAGUACAUGGGAGUAUAUUUAAACAUUUUUACUUACUAAUCAGGAUUUGUUUGUAUAAAAUUUAUAGCACACAAAGAUUUAAACAUAUGUUUCAUUACUAAUGUUUAUAUAGCUCAAUAUCUGCAGCCCAUUUGAACUUCAGAUGCAUACCUGUUAAAUAGAUGUUGCUCAAAAAUAAAUAUGGCUAAAAAAACUCUUAAAUACAUUAGGAUAGUUAUAUAUUGAGGAUGUCGUAACUGCAACAGUGUACUGGUUCGACAGGUUUGCCUUCUUGCCAUUGUCACGGGUUUGAGUCCAGACCGCCCUUUUUCCCUGUUAAUUUUGAGGGGCCGCUGGUUAGAGAUGAAGAAUAGCACGUUGUUGUCGAUUUUUUUUGUAAGAAUUAUUUUGAGGUGGGUUUUGAAAAAAAUCAGGGUGCAAGCCUUGCUCUCCGGGCUCCAGUGGCUGACAGCUGGACCCCAUGCGCCUAGUCGGUACAUAUUUCAUAUAUGAACGCGAUUAGCACUGUAUUUGUAUGCACGAGCCAAGCUUUUCAUCACUUUAAUCUACACCGUAACUUCUAGCUCCAAAUUCACCGUAUACGCCAAGUUCGAACAACACAGAUGUAAUUGACUCAUAUUUACUCAGUUUAACCUGAAGCUCUUGUGAUGCAUCUGUUAUGUAAUCUGCUCAAUACUGUAAUCCGCUACUAUGGUUUUAGUAAGUGGAGCGGAUUGACGGGACAAGCUGACACGCACACCGCUCGCACGACGUAACGCAACAAUUUGUCACUGGCCACUGCUGACUGUUGUGAUUCUCUCCCCACGUCGCCAAUGCAACAGCUCGCAGCUGCAACAAUCACGCAACGGUUCGUGCGGCAAUAGCAGUAGCCACUCGCAGCUGCGUAACCACCGCGUAUUUGCCACGCACCCCGUCCAUUCCCGUUCCCCUCGAUACUACGCACGGAAAAGGAGUCGUGCCAGGGCAUAAUAACAGUGCAUCUCCGAGUAAAAAGAACAGUGCAUCUCCCGAUUACAUGUGCUCGAUUUUCAAGGAAGGGGAAAACAACGAAGCUUAACUGACGAAUUGGGAUAAGAACAGAACUAAAAAAGGGAUGGCGAAUACGGAGUAGAUCACGGUAUAAAACUGAAAGGUUCAUAUAAGUCGAAGUCGGGGAUACUCACAAGGAUAACAAGGACCUAUCAACAGGCAGCGCUAUUAUAUAGGAUCGGAGUGAACUUCAGAUGAUGCAAAGUAGGUAAAACUAAAUUACGCAAGAAUUAGUAAAUUGCUUGUAUGGAGAAGAACUCACAAUGAGGAAAUUGCUUGUAUGGUAAAGGAAACUGCAGGUUCACAGCACUACAUAACAAGUGAAUUGGGAAAUUGCUUGUAUGGUGAAGAAAACUGCAGAUUCAUUUCACAAAGUUAGAGCUGAAAACAUCUCUAAAACAACCCAUUUCGUUACACCAAACACCACCCACGAUACAUAAACUUGCCUAGCAGAACCAAAACAUAAACAAGGGAGGAUGAGGCAUCCAUUUGUACAGAUCCUUGAACACCAAGCAGUCCUACGACCAGCUAUCAGAUCAGGCGGCGACCUUGCGGGCCUUCUUGGCGGCCGGGGAGCGGACGGUCUUCGGCUUCGCCUUGGCCUUGACCGCAGGCGACUUCUUGGCCUUGCCGACCAGCUUCUUCUUCUCGGGAGCCUUGCGCUUCGCUCCAGCGGCGGCGACGGCCUUCUUGGGCUUCUCGGCGGCCUUCUUCUUGGGCUUGGCCGCGUCCUUGGCAGGUUUGGCCGCGGGCUUGGCCUUGGGGGAGUCCUUCUUGGCGGCGUCGGAGAGCUUGUAGGAGGCCUUGACCUUGACGAGCUUGCCCUUGGCGGCGGCCGCGCGGAGCUGGACGGAGAGCAUCUUCUUGAAGUUGGC
rnacentral:lncRNA from 1 species